CCUUCUGGCCCGCGGGCCGCGGGGCGGGGAGCGCCGGCACAGCCCAGGGCCCCGGAGCGGCUUCCACGCGGGGAGCCUCGGCUGCUCUCAGAUUGUGUCUUGGGAGAAAUCCGGAUACAUUCAGAGAAGCUGAGAAACGAACACGCCCCAUUGUAAAUAUCAGGACCUUCUGUGAGUGAUCCGGGGCCCACUGCUGAGUCAGAUUAGACCCCAGCCCAAGGUUAAAAAAAAAAAAACUUCCAAUACCAUCUUCAUGGGAACCAGUGCUCCAUGCAGCACACACUUUCAAGGCUCCUUUGGCUGCUGUGGGAAGGCGCUGUCUGCAGGAGCAUGCUGCCUUGUGUCAUGUCAAGGAUGUUGCUGCAGAUCUUUGUGAACUUUUCCCACUGGGUAGAAAACACCUGAUGACAAAUUACAUGAACAUUGAAUCUAUGGAUAGCGUAUACAUUGAUUCCAUCUUAUGGGAAUUAAAUAUUGCCUGUAUAAACAUUAAACAUGAUUCUGUCCCACCAGCUCAUUGAUUUGAAAGACACAUCCACAGCCUCUGUGUGAUAAC